rnacentral:rRNA from 1 species
ACAGAGUUUGAUCCUGGCUCAGGACGAACGCUGGCGGCGUGCUUAACGCAUGCAAGUCGAACGAUGAAGCCUUUCGGGGUGGAUUAGUGGCGAACGGGUGAGUAACACGUGGGUAACCUGCCCUUGUCUUUGGGAUAAGCCCUGGAAACGGGGUCUAAUACCGGAUAUGACCUUCCUGCGCAUGUAGGUGGGUGGAAAGUUCUGGCGGACAGGGAUGGGCCCGCGGCCUAUCAGCUUGUUGGUGGGGUGAUGGCCUACCAAGGCGACGACGGGUAGCCGGCCUGAGAGGGCGACCGGCCACACUGGGACUGAGACACGGCCCAGACUCCUACGGGAGGCAGCAGUGGGGAAUAUUGCACAAUGGGCGAAAGCCUGAUGCAGCGACGCCGCGUGAGGGAUGACGGCCUUCGGGUUGUAAACCUCUUUCGCCCGGGACGAAGCGAGAGUGACGGUACCGGGAGAAGAAGCACCGGCUGACUACGUGCCAGCAGCCGCGGUAAUACGCAAGGUGCGAGCGUUGUCCGGAAUUAUUGGGCGUAAAGAGCUCGUAGGCGGUUUGUCGCGUCGACUGUGAAAACCUGGGGCUCAACUCUGGGCUUGCAGUCGAUACGGGCAGACUUGAGUUCGGUAGGGGAGACUGGAAUUCCUGGUGUAGCGGUGAAAUGCGCAGAUAUCAGGAGGAACACCGGUGGCGAA